GACCUCCGAGGCUUUCGAGGCAGUUUCCGGCCAAACCACGGCGAACUAGGUGUUGUGCAAGGUAUCAUUCUCUUUGUCUCUUCAAGGGCUACAACUUUUGUUUUUGAAUCACUUGAUUUCGUUGAGAAAUGACAAAGUUAUGGCAAUUUGAAAAACUGCCCAGAAAACGGCCGCCGGAAAAAACCAGUCCGGCGACCCAAGGAAGAAGAAGGUGCUACAGUAAAAAUAAAAAAAAAUAAAAUAAAAUUAUUUUAAAAAUAUGUCGACGUCCGUGACGUCGAGUAGAUCACUGUGGUAUAUUCAUAUACCUAAAUUGAACACCGUAUGAGAAAGUUAUUGAAGAUUGUUGGUUAGGUGUUCAAAUAACGUUUUAUAGUUUUCACAUUUAGGUGAAAAUGUGAAUUGAUGAUCCGACCGUUGGAUCGUCACCAAACUUUGAUACGUUGUAAUACGUAAUAUUUGAGGAUUAUUGGAACUUACGGAUUGGGAAUCAGAGUUACUGAUCUUCCGGAAUUGGAAUUGUAAGUCCAUAAAUAUAAAAUGUUAACCGUCACUUAGUUUUGGAAAUUGACGGAGAUCCGACCGUUGGAUGGUAAUGAAAUUUUAGGAUGUUUGUCCUAGAGGUAUAUUGUGGACCUCUGGAAGUUAUGGAUUUAAAAUCUGAGUGGCAGAUCUUCCGGAUCGAUCAACGUAGUGACGUAUUUUAUAUAAGUUAUGUAUUCUAUCGAUAUGAAUUCUGAGGUUGGAAUUGAUUAUUGUUUUAGGCGCCGAUCGUCAUGACGCCUUGGCGUAUUGUGCUAGGGAGUUGUAGGGCGAACUCCAGGUGAGUGGGCAGUUUUGUUUUCCGUAUAUAUAUAUACUUGACGUUUCCCAGAAAUUGAAUUGAAAUGAAAAUAUGUUUAAAAUGAAAUGCAUAUGAGUUAUGUGGAAAAACGGGAAGUGAAAUACCAUGCAUAGAAUUGAUAUGAAAAGUAUAUAGAAAUGUGAGUUGAAAUGCCAUGCAUGAAUUAAUUUAUGAUGCAUAUGUAUGAAUUGGUGCGGUGGACGCACAUGUAAGAAUUGAUUUAUGAUGCAUAUGUAUGAAUUGGUGCGGUGGACGCACAUGUAAGAAUUGAUUUAUGAUGCAUAUGUAUGAAAUGGUGCGGUGGACGCACAGGUGAGUAUCAGGUGAUUAUUUAAAUACUGUUAUGAUGAUGUUGAUAUAUAUUGAGCUCAAAUCCUGCACCAUGGUUUAGUGCUUAUAGUAUUCACCGCAUCGCACGCUCGCCUUGGAUCCAAGUAGAUGCUAGUCGUACAGUCCACGCGGAGUGGGUACGACAGACCAGUCGCGAGAGAGUGUUAGUGAGAUUCCGACUGGUGGGUGACCUUAGAUUAUGUGCACAGAUGAUUUAUGAGAAGCACUAGAGCGUAACUUGUGUGCAGAAGGCCGGACGGGUCACAGAGGUGACUCCGGUAGAGUGAUAAUGAUAGAUUUUGAGCUCUAGGUUCAACCGUACAGGGCUAUUAGAGGGCCUACGGUUGAUUACUUUCUUGCACCUGAUAUGAUUAUGUUGAUGCAUUCAUACCUUAUUACUGUUGAGAUGAUGUGGCAUGGCAUAAUUAAUAUGAGAAAUGUUGAGAUGAUGUGGCAUGGCAUAACUGAUAUGAAAAAUGUUGAAAAAGUGAAAUGAAGUAUUGAGAAUAUAUAUGUAUAUUUAUAUUUUACAUUUCUGGGAAAGUAUACAGGUUUUACGGAGAGGGGUUACAACGUUAUGAGAAAUGUUUGGAUUUGGAAAAGAAUUGUUUUACUGACCCACUCAAUUUUGGUUUUGCGCCCCUCCAGGUUCAGGAAUCACAAAGGUGUGGUGACUACGAGGAAUACGGCGGGGUUCUGACAGAUUGGACAAAAUUAGGACUCACCUUCGGGUGUAUCAACUUAUAAAUUGUAUAAUUAAAGCUUCCGUACUGUGCAAAUGGUUACGUCACUCUCACGUGACGGCCAGCAUGCCCUCCUUCGGGACGGGGUGUGUCAGUUGGUAUCAGAGCAUGGUUGCAAUCUUGGACAUCUUGAGAAGUUUCUAGUGAAUUCUGUCAGAACUACACCGCCUCGUAGCAAACCACGUAGUUAGAGGAACUUAGUCUCCCUGAUUUAGCGGUUUGGGGGAAACUAUUAUUAUGGUGAUUCAGUAUAUUAUCAAAAUGGACAUUUUAAGACGGGUUAUGAGUUGAAUUUGAAUCACCUUAUGAAAUGAUGAACCUGAGGGAGCGGAGUGACGGUUUAACCAAUUGGAAAAGAUGUUUCAGAUUAUGCAAGUCAAAGGAAAUUUCCUUCUGACAGGUGGGUCGAGACGACUACCUGGUUUUGGGUAUGAAAUUGUAUCCUGGUGGAAACAGGAAUGUUAAUUGUUGUCACCAGAGGAAUCAGCCGAUUUAAAAUUUUUUAAGGAAAAGUUUAUCCCUCCGGCAUUUAUCGAUGGUAGUAAGCAAGAGUUUGCAAAUGUGAAUCAAGGAAGUUGACGAUAAAGUUAAUGAUUCGUCAUAUCAAGGAUAUAGAAAGAUUCAGAGCUUCGAAAGAAGUGAAGCUAGAGUUAAUUCUUCCAGCUGAGGUUUUAAUGUCGCUGGUCAGAGUAAAAGUGAUGGAUAUACUGGUAAUCCCAGAUAUUUGAGACAAGGUGUCUCGAGUAAAGGAAAUGUACUUUGUGCAGCAGGUACAAAAUUAACACUUUGGGAAAUGUGAAAUUAAUGAAUGUGUUUAUGUGAACAGAAGGGACACAGAGUUGUGAAUCGUCCCUAGAAUCAGUUGUACUCAACAAUUUUCCAUGAAAUCAUAGUGUCGAUUCAGCAGAGUUAUGGAUUUAGUAGUUUGGUCGGAUUGACCGUGGGUACAGAGAGAUUUGAUGAGUUAUAUGUUCAGUCGUACAGACCAUGAGAAGUGGAUUCGAUUGACACAUGAGAAAUUGGUGAGUUAUAGGCUCGGCCGUACCGACCACGCGGAGUGGAUCCGGCCGACGUAUUAUUGAGAUAAGAGUUGAAUCAGCCGUAUUGGUCAUUCUAGUUGACUUCGGCUGAUAUAUUUCUUAUUAUGUAUGUUAUUACCUAGAGAGUAGUAAAUAAAUGUAGUUGAGACGAGUGUAUGUAUUUUGCAUUGAGUGACAAAAUAGUAAUGUUAUAUCUUUGAGAGUGGUUGCCUACUUAUCGAGACAACGAUGAUUUAUCAGUAUUGCGGGCUGCAGACCGUAAUAUUAAUAACUCAUUCGUGGAUUCGUUAAGCAAGCAAACCGGUAGGUUAUUUUAUGUUAGUGUUGUACUUAUUUAGAAUGCUUAAUAAUAAUAGAAUAUAUAUUGUAUCAGUUAAUUCUGUUCCAUUAGAUUGGUUGGUUAUAAUUGUGACAAGACGGAAUGUUACGGGAAACCAGUACUUUCCAUCGAUCUGGAUGACCAGAGAUUACUUUUGUAAGUAUGCAAAGUGGAUUGAGUCAGGCCGUUAUUUAUGCUGUGAGAGCAAAGAGAUUGUUUUCGAAAGGCUGUCAAAAAUACUUAGCUCAUGUGGUGCUAAAUGAUGUUGUUUGGAGUAGUGUGAAUAAUGUCGAAAGGGUUAGACUUUUCUUGAUGUCUUCCCUGAAAGUAUACCUGGAUUGCCUUCAGGCAGAGAUAUGAGGUUCACUAUUGAUUUGUUGCCAGGUAUAAAUUUAUAUUGGAGAUUGGUUCAUGAUGAGUUAAGGGAAUUGGAAAUUCAGUUGAGGGAAUUGGUUGAUAAAAGUUUUAUUCAACCUAGUACAACACUUUUGAGGAGCCCCAGUUUGUUGGUGAGGAAGAAAAUGGAUCUUGAGACUGUUCAUUGAUUAUAGACAAUGGAGUCGGGUAACGAUUGAGAACCGUUAUCCAUGGUGAUGUACUGAUGUUUAUUUAACCAGCUCAGAAGUAAUUGCGAAGAUUCAAAGAUUGAAUUGAGAUCUGGUUACUACCAAUUGAAUAUUAUAAGUGACGUUGAUCAUAAGAUGGUUUUCUGGACUUGUUAUAGUUUUUAUGAAGUUUGGUGAUGCUAUGUGGAUACUCAUGCUGUUUUAUGAGUUGAUGGAUGAAGUAUUCCAAUAAUGCCUUGAUAAAUUGAUAUCAUUUUCAUUGAAGAUAUUCUGGCAUAUUCUAAGCCUAGAGCAUGUAAACGUAUUAAGUCGGUGAAGCAAAGAUUAAGAGAACGUUGGUUGUAUGCUAAGUUUAGCAAAUGCGAAUGUUGGAUGAAUCAAGUGGCAUUCUGAGAUUGGUUAUAUCUGCUUAAGGUAUUCAAAUGAAUUCUUAAAAGGCAGCAGAAUUGAGAAAUUGGAACAACCACAAGCCAUAAUUGAGAUUCGGAAAUUCUUAACUUAUCAGGCUAUUUUGGAUGGUUGUGAAAGAAUUUUUAGUCAUUGUUUUGUCAUUGAUGAGACUGUUGAGAAAGGAGGUUAUGUAUGAGUGGGAAGGAAUUGUAAGCAAAGGAUUCAACAACUGAAGUAUUUCCUCACUCAUGCACGUAUUUUGGUAUUCCCAGAGAAUAGUGGUAAUCAUAAAUUUUUAGUGAUGUUUCUUGAAUGGUAUUGGAUGCAUGUUGAUGCAAAUGUUAGGGUGAUUGCAUACGUUUCACGAUAAAUGGAAUCUCAUAAGAUGAAUUACCCUACGGGUGACUUGGAAGUCAUGAUUACCAUUCUUGCUGUGAAGUUAUGAAGGCAUUAUAUUUGGUAAGAAUGCAAGAUUUUUACGAAUCCAAAAAGUCUUCAAUAUCCAUUACUUGGAAGGAUUUUGAUAUGAGGCAGCGAAAGUGAAUUGUAUUGCUUAAUGAACAUGAUUGUACGAUCAGGGUGAUCGUAAAGUUUGUUCUAGCUGAAGCACUUGAUAAGAAGACUGCAGUAAGAAUUAAUAUCUGGUACGCUUGCCAAGAUUAUCUUCUUGUGGAUUGGAAAUCAACUAAAGUAAAGUUAAGAAUGAAAGAUCGAGAAGAAGUUAUACUUGUUAAGUUUCAAGUUAGGCCUUUUGGUAAGGUCGUACUCGAGACUCAAAUGGUAUGUGGAUACAAGAAAACAAAAAGUAUGUGCCUAAUGCUGAGGAUUUGAAGCAAGCAAAUAUUGGACGAAGUUCACUGUUCAACUUCUGCAAUAUUCCAAAAGUAAUAAGAUUUAUCAUACCAUUCGACAGUUUUAUUUGGUCAGCAGAUUGAGGCAGAAAGAGAUAAACCUUUGGAUUGAGAUAAUUAUUUUCUGUUUCGCAGUGGAAAUGGAAAGAUAUUACUUUGGAUUAUGUGUACAAGCUUCCUUGUACACAAGAUGGUUAUGAUCGAAUUUGAAGUGAUAGUUGGUCAAUGUACCAAGUUAGUACAAUUACUCCAGUGUUGAGUAAUAAAUUUUUUUUCAGACAGGGCAACGGUACUUAAUGUAUUUGUGUUCGAUGCGUUGUCACUAGGUGGCAGAGUCGUCUCAUGGAAUUCUGGUGCAACUAUUGAGAAUUAAAUUGGAUUCGACUUGAUAAGGAACCAAGGACGACUUUGGAUUGGAAAAAGAAGGUCCUGAGAAUUAAGACAGAGUAAGUAGUAAAAGCUUUGUGAAGGAAAUCAUUCAGUAGAAAAUUAUGUGGGAAAAAGAGAAUCGGAUGAGAGAGAUUUAUCCGAGGCUAUUGUAUGAGUAUAGAUGAUUUAGUUGGUUGCUGGAAUUUCGGGGACGAAAUUCUAUAAGGAGGGGAGAUUGUCACAGCCCGUCCCGGAAUUUUUAAUUCCGAGGACAUGAAAUUACGAAAAUGUCCCUAAUACGUGACUAAGGUAUAAUUUUCACGUUCGUUAUAUCUAAGCUCCAAAAAAAAUUUGGUAAUUAGAGUGGAGACUUAGACUUAAAUUUUAUGAUGGAAUUUUAUGAAAUUGGGAUUGGAUUGGACAUGUGGGAUCCCCACACCUCAAAACCCUCCCCAUUUCCCGUAUACUGUCCUUCAUACUCUCUCUCUUCCUCAGACCUCACUCUCUCUCUCUCACCCUCUCGAACACACAGGCAACCACCCAAAACCACCUAAAACUUAUACCAACGUCGGAUUUAAAGCUACCAUGGCAUUCCUGAGGACUCCACGAUCACGUAGACACCAAUUUCAGGUAAGUUUUACUUCGGAAAACCUAGAUUCUAAACUCCCCGUGAAAGUGCACUGUUCAUGAUCUUCGAAUUGACUUUGUUUUUAGGACAAUCCAAGCUCAUAGCAAGCUUGGUGAGGUCCCAAGGAAGCUCGGAGUGCUUCGUUGGAAGUUUUUGGACGUAAGAACACGGAGAUCGACAAGUUCAAAGUUUAGCCGGAGCUUUCGAGGCGUUUUCCGGCGAAUCCCCGGCGAGUUAGGAGUCGAGGUAGGUAUCAAUCUCUUCGUCUCGUCAAGUACUACAACUUUCCUUUUGUUUUCACUCAAUUUCGUUGAGUAUUGAAGAAGUUAUACUCAUUUGAAAAAUACCCAGUUUCCGGCGACCUCCGAGGCUUUCGAGGCAGUUUCCGGCCAAACCACGGCGAACUAGGUGUUGUGCAAGGUAUCAUUCUCUUUGUCUCUUCAAGGGCUACAACUUUUGUUUUUGAAUCACUUGAUUUCGUUGAGAAAUGACAAAGUUAUGGCAAUUUGAAAAACUGCCCAGAAAACGGCCGCCGGAAAAACCAGUCCGGCGACCCAAGGAAGAAGAAGGUGCUACAGUAAAAAUAAAAAAAAUAAAAAUAAAAUUAUUUUAAAAAUAUGUCGACGUCCGUGACGUCGAGUAGAUCACUGUGGUAUAUUCAUAUACCUAAAUUGAACACC
rnacentral:lncRNA from 1 species